AAUCGGACCCGGGGUUAGCCCAUAGAGAUUAUAAAUAACACUAUUUAUAUUAUUAUAGUUUAUAGUGUUAUUUAUAAUCUCUAUGGGUUAGCCUGCGUAGCUGGCG